rnacentral:rRNA from 1 species
AACGAACGCUGGCGGCAUGCCUAACACAUGCAAGUCGAACGAGACCUUCGGGUCUAGUGGCGCACGGGUGCGUAACGCGUGGGAACCUGCCCUUAGGUUCGGAAUAACUCCCCGAAAGGGGUGCUAAUACCGGAUAAUGUCUUCGGACCAAAGAUUUAUCGCCUUUGGAUGGGCCCGCGUUGGAUUAGCUAGUUGGUAGGGUAAAAGCCUACCAAGGCGACGAUCCAUAGCUGGUCUGAGAGGAUGAUCAGCCACACUGGGACUGAGACACGGCCCAGACUCCUACGGGAGGCGGCAGUGGGGAAUAUUGGACAAUGGGCGAAAGCCUGAUCCAGCAAUGCCGCGUGAGUGAUGAAGGCCUUAGGGUUGUAAAGCUCUUUUACCCGGGAUGAUAAUGACAGUACCGGGAGAAUAAGCUCCGGCUAACCCCGUG